rnacentral:lncRNA from 10 species
CAAGAAGUUUAUUGUCAAAAACAUUUAUUUCUUCAAGUACAAAUAGUAAGUAUUAACCAUUUCGGAUGGUUUGCAUGUGCUCGGUUUUACUUAUGUUAACUCAUUUUUACCUCACAACAGUUACCGUGGUAAGAAAUUAUUAUCCACAUUGAUAUGUAAAUAUCAAUCCACAGAGGAAGAAAAUUGCUUAAGACCAAAGUCAUAGUUAUUAAAUGCCAGGGUCACAAUAUACCAUCUGCAAGCUGGAGAAUCAGAGAAGCCGGUGGCAUGGCCUGAUCCAAGUUGGAAGGCCUGAGAAACAAGGAGGCACAUGGUGUAACUAAGUUCAAGGCUAAAGGCUUGAGAGCCCCAGAGGGCCACUGGUGCAAGUGUCAGAGUCCAAAGGCCAAAGGACCUAGAGUUGUGUGGUACAAGGGCAUGAGAAGGGUGUCACAGCUCUGGAAGAGAGAAUUCACCCUUCUUCCACCUUUUUGUUCCAUCUGGGCCCUCAGGUGAUUGGAUAGUGCCUGCCUACAUUGAGGGUUGAUCUUCCCUACUCAGUCCACUGAGCAGGUAUUCUCAAGUCUUUAUCCUUGAACUCAGUUCCACCAUGUGCUUGUUUCUCAGGCCUUCCAACUUAGACCAAGCCAUGCUACCAUUUCUUUCUUAGAGUUCUGAAGGCUGGCAAGUCCAAGAUCAAGGUGCAGGCACAUCUGGUGUCUGAUGAGGGUCCACCCGCUUUCUGAUUUGCUGAGGACAGUCUUCUUGUGGUAUUCUCACAUGGCAGAGAGCAAGCUCUUGUGUCUCUUUUUAUAAGGCCACUGCGAUGGUCUGAAUGUGUCUCCCAACAUUCAUGUGUUAGAAACUUGGUCCCCACCAGCUAUAUGGAGGCUGAGGUGGGAGGAUCGCUUGAGCCCAGGAGUUUGAGGCUGCAGUGAUCUAUGAUCAUGCCACUAUACUCCAGCCUAGGCAAC